AGAGCGAACGCUGGCGGCAGGCCUAACACAUGCAAGUCGAGCGCUCCGCAAGGGGAGCGGCAGACGGGAGAGUAACACGUGGGAACGUACCCUUCAGUUCGGAACAACCCAGGGAAACUUGGGCUAAUACCGAAUACGUCCGUAAGGAGAAAGAUUUAUCGCUGAAGGAUCGGCCCGCGUCUGAUUAGCUUGUUGGUGAGGUAACGGCUCACCAAGGCGACGAUCAGUAGCUGGUCUGAGAGGAUGAUCAGCCUCACUGGGACUGAGACACGGCCCAGACUCCUACGGGAGGCAGCAGUGGGGAAUAUUGGACAAUGGGCGCAAGCCUGAUCCAGCCAUGCCGCGUGGGUGAUGAAGGCCCUAGGGUUGUAAAGCCCUUUCGGCGGGAAGAUAAUGACGGUACCGCAGAAGAAGCCCGGCUAACUCGUGCCAGCAGCCGC
rnacentral:rRNA from 1 species